UCGGGACAGUGUCUGCCGCAUGAUAAAAGCUCAAUAAACAUUAGAUCUCACUGUGAUGAGUCACAGCCAUGUCGGAUUUUACUUAUUUUCAUAUUUCUAUACAUUGCAGGUGUCUCUUGCACAGGAUUGAGCUGUGGCAGCCCUUCAUCUGUCAGGAGAGCAUUCUCUAAAACCGACCCUGUCCUUCCAGGCCAAUUUCUGCACUCAAAGGUGUAAAAGAGGGACAUGCGAUAUAGAGGGAUGAGAAACGCACCACCCUCCUGUGCACUGGAAAUGACAUUUCAGCCACAUGGAAGCAUCUUCAAAGCGGCACACAGAGGCAUGAUACUUGAGCAUUGUUUCCAUCACCUCUGGGACGAAAUGUGACAACCGGCUGACAGAGAUCCCCUGGGAUCCGUCCUGUCCCCUGAAGGCAGCAGAGAGAACUGAAACUCCCGGCCCCUCCCCCCCCCCUCCCCCGCCCCAGGUUAAGUCCUGAGGUUGGAGUGGUACUCGUGCUUGUGGCCGAAGUCGUCCUAGAAAUCAAGUUCUCCGUCACCAUGGAGCUGCCAUUACUGACUUCGGCCUUCAUAGUAUUUGGUGGCAGAAGUGGCAGCAAGG